rnacentral:tRNA from 1 species
UGUCUGUUUUGCAUGCAGGAGAUGUGGGUUAGUAUCCCGCAAGUCUUA